UACGUAGGUGGCAAGCGUUAUCCGGAAUUAUUGGGCGUAAAGAGCGCGCAGGUGGUUGAUUAAGUCUGAUGUGAAAGCCCACGGCUUAACCGUGGAGGGUCAUUGGAAACUGGUCGACUUGAGUACAGGAGAGGAAAGCGGAAUUCCUAGUGUAGCGGUGAAAUGCGUAGAUAUUAGGAGGAACACCAGUGGCGAAGGCGGCUUUCUGGACUGUAACUGACACUGAGGUACGAAAGCGUGGGGAGCAAACAGGAUUAGAUACCCUGGUAGUCCCU
rnacentral:rRNA from 1 species